rnacentral:rRNA from 1 species
AUGACCACACGCACGGGCUCGCCUCCUCUCCCUCUCGCCCACGCAAUCCUCGCCGCCGCCACCACCCACGCCAGCCGCUUCCGGCGAGCUCCGGCGCCGCGCAGCACGCCCCUGAGCUCCCCAUCGUCUGCGCUUCCCUCCCCUCCGGCUAGAUUCUCCGCUCCCAGCGUCUACCGCCUGCUCGCAACCCCACCCCCGUGGCUAGGGUUUCGGGUAGGGCUUCGCCGGUGUAUCUCCGGCGGCCCCAGCGGGUCGCACGGGACCUCCUGGCACGUGGAGGCGUCGCUAGACCUGCGCCAGGGCGGCAUGCGACUGAUUCCCGACAUUGGCUUGGGCGGCGGCGUGGGUCGUGCAAUGGCCGAUCUCGUCGCUCUAGUCAUCAUGGAGAUCUCUGGACCAGGGGCGGCGACCCCGGUAGGCAUGGCGGUGGCGCACUCGGCUGGCAGCGCUUGA